ensembl:lncRNA
AAAAUAUUAACGCUAUCCCAUGACUAUUUCACAUUUUCCUUUUAACAUUUGAAGGGCUCACAUACUGCCAAUUAUUGAUCCUAUUGACCUUCUUAAACAUUAUUAUUUUUACACAAAUGGAAGAGACACACUGUAACUAUAAACUCAACUGUGUAUUUCAGAUGCCGUCACUUUGCAUAGUCGAUAUAAAAAACUGGAUGACGAGUAAUUUCUUACUGCUAAAUUCUGAAAAAACAGAGGUGUUAAUUAUAGGACCUAAAAACUCUGCAUGUAAUAUCCUAGAACUCUGUCUAAGACUUGAUGGCUGCUCUGUCAAUUCUUCGUCAUCAGUUAGGAACCUAGGUGUGCUAUUUGAUAGCAAUCUUUCCUUAGAAAGCCAUGUUUCUAGCAUUUGUAAAACUGCAUUUUUCCAUCUCAAAAAUAUAUCUAAAUUACGACCUAUCCUCUCAAUGUCAAAUGCAGAAAUGUUAAUCCAUGCGUUUAUGGCCUCAAGGUUAGAUUAUUGUAAUGCUUUAUUGGGUGGUUGUUCUGCAUGCUUAAUAAACAAACUCCAGCUAGUCCAAAAUGCAGCAGCAGAUCCUUUUCCUUUUUAGCGCCUAAACUCUGGAAUAACUUACCUAACAUUGUUCGGGAGGCAGACACACUCUUGCAGUUUAAAUCUAGAUUAAAGACCCAUCUCUUUAACCUGGCUUACACAUAACAAACUAAUACACUUCUAAUAUCCAAAUCUGUUAAAGGAUUUUUAGGCUGCAUUAAUUAGGUAAACCGGAACCGGAAACACUUCCCAUUACACCCGAUGUACUUGCUACAUCGUUAGAAGAAUGGCACCUACGCUAAUAUUAGUCUGUUUCUCUCUUAUAUCGAGGUCACUGUAGCCACCAGAUCCAGUCUGUAUCCAGGUCAGGUGGUCACUGCAGUCACCCGGAUCCAGUACGUAUCCACCCCAGAUGGUGGAUCAGCAUCUAGAAAGGACCUCUACAGCCCUGAAUGUCAGCGGAGGCCAGGACAACUAGAUGAGCCCCAGAUACAGAUCUCAUGUAAAGACCUUGUCACAGACGACCACCGGGACAAGACCACAGGAAACAGAUGAUUAUUCUGCACAAUCUGACUUUGCUGCAGCCUGGAAUUGAACUGCUGAUUUCGUCUGCCAGAGGAAAACUGGCCCCCCGACUGAGCCUGGUUUCCCCCAAGGUUUUUUCCCAAUUCUGUCACCGAUGGAGUUUUGGUUCCUUGCCGCUGUCGCCUCUGGCUUGCUUAAUGGGGACACUUCUUUUCCAGUGAUAUUAUUGAGAGAACUCUGAUUCUUGGUGAUCUUAACAUACAUGUUGAUCAGAAAGACUGUGCUUUGGCCAAGGACUUUUUAUCUCUGUUGGACUGUUUUAACUUUACACAAUUUGUGAAUGUUCCUACACAUUUCAAAGGCCAUACACUUGAUUUAGUUAUGGCAAAUUAUGCUUUUGGGUCGAAUAUCUCCACUGUAGAUGUUGGUCUC